GGUAUACUUUUGGCAUCUAAUGAUAUUGGCUAAAUGAUAAUGGACGCAACGGUGAGGGUUACAGUAUGCGGUAUUCUACAAAUCUACAAACUUACCUUUCGCCAACAGCUAGCGAGCAAUGUACUACUUGAAUAAGAUUCCUCUACGUGCCCUUUAACGCUGUUCAAGCGCACCUACAGACAAGUGUCUGAGCGGCGUUUAAUAACCUGAUGCAGCACAGUCGAUCCGACUACUGCAAAGCAUAGGUCGGGCA
rnacentral:lncRNA from 1 species